UGUACACAUCCCUUGAGAAGUGAGAACAGAGACAGAGUGAUCUGGGUAGAAGAAGAAGAAGGGAUUUCGAAUCGCAAACAAAUCCUCUCCAUAACUCCUUCCAUAAAUCGCUUCCGGGGUUGAAGAAGGAACAGUUCCAUUGCAUGAUGUUGAAGUGAGUAGCGGUAAUUUUUUAGUUUGCAGAGAAUCCAUUGAAAAUAGCCGACGAAGCCAACGGAGAUGGAAUUGGUAGGCUAUUUUUGGUUGCUCACCUUUAAGGCUGUUAAUGGGUGGCUAUGGAUUGUAUCUUGGAUACCGAAAAUGAUAUUCUGAUUAUGUGGAGGAGAAGGCCAAGGUCAAAGACUUGCACCUCGAGCUUCUAGCUGGGAUGUUCUUUUUUUUUUUUUUUUGCUGGAGCAACUGUUGGAGUAACAGCUCUUCUGACUUCUCACAAACCCAGUCUGGGAACCAGCUUCAUGUCAACGAUUUCUAUCAAUCUCUAUUGCUCCACUAUGGUAGAUGAAGUAAAUACAGGUUAUCAAGAUGGGUGGAGAAAUCAGGGUUGUAAAGAAGGAUUGCCAGGAACUUCAAUGCAAUUGUACUUGGUUCUGGAUACACCUGCAGAUGGCACUAAACAAUAUUGUCAAGAAGAUUUUGAAAAGCAGUGUAGUGGUGCCGCUUGCACUACAUGGCAACAUGGGUAGAUUGAUUAUGCCCCAGUGGUUACGUAAAAAUGUUCUCAUUGGCAGCGUCUGAGUUGAAUAAGCUGAGUUCUUAGGGAACUCUUUAAAGGCAGAAAUUCAGCUUGAACUGCGCAAAAGUUCAGCUAAUGGACGAUGUUUUUUGGAGUCAUCUAAAAUUGCUCUUGAUGGUGGAGGCAAAAAUGGAGAGCCCAAACAGGUUACCAUUCUGGAAAUUUCUGUUUUGGAUUUAUCUCUCACUUCAAAGUUGACUUCUUCAAUGAUUUGAAAGAUUAAAAUAUAUGAUUCCUAAUCCGAUUUUUGAGAUCUAGAUGUUUCUAGCUGAUCAAGGUUCAUUUUUCUCUGCUAAGAAGCUGAUUUUUUUCGGGUCUUUUGCCUUGCAGACCAUUGGUUGUAUGACAGAGCGUGUUGUGGAAACUUGAUCAUUUGGAAUUGUUUUUCAGGCAAAAUGCUUGGAAACUGGUGAGACAGUGGCUAUAAAGAAGGUUUUGAAAGACACAAGAGAUAAGAACAAGGAACGUCAAUUGAUGCGUGUGAUUGAUAUGUUAACACACCCACUUCAGAACUCUCUAAUGCUAUGAAUCAUCGAACAUGAAAGAUUAACAUGCUCCUAGAUUUUACUAAGAUGUAAUACAAAGCUGGAAGUCUCAUAAUAAGUUGAUGAUGAUUGUGACUUCCUUUUGUAAACCUAAAAUGUUCGCAAACCAGAAAUCCUUUGCAACAUUUGAACGCCUUAUAAUAAAUUGGAAAUUGUUUUUU